rnacentral:lncRNA from 1 species
CCGCCACUCCGGAUUCGGGGAUCUGAACCCGACUCCCUUUCGAUCCGCUGAGGGCAAGGGAGGCCAUUGCCUGUCCCUUCGGAACGGCGCUCGCCCAUCUCUCAGGACCGACUGACCCGUGUUCAACUGCUGGCACCCUGCCCUUCACAAAGAAAAGAGAACUCUCCCCGCGGCUCAUUUUUCUUUCUCUACACUUUGUCUCUGUGUCUCUUUCUUUUCCAAGU